UUCAGGUUUCUGCCCUAUCAGCUUUGGAUGGUAGUGUAUUGGACUACCAUGGCAGUCACGGGUAACGGAGAAUUAGGGUUCGAUUCCGGAGAGGGAGCCUGAGAAACGGCUACCACAUCUACGGAAGGCAGCAGGAGCGAAAAUUGCCCAAUCCCGACACGGGGAGGCAGUGACGAGAAAUAACAACUCUUGGUUAUUCUAAGAAGUGUAAUGAGGAUAAUUUUAAACCCUUACCGAAAGCAAUUGGAGGGCAAGUCUGGUGCCAGCAGCCGCGGUAAUUCCAGCUCCAAUAGCGUAUAUUAAAGUUGUUGUAGUUAAAAAGCUCGUAGUUGAAGUUCUGGCUGCUUGACCCUCGAGCUCUGUAGCCGAGGGCUCAGCAGUCAUCCGCUUGCAAAUAUAUGUUCGCCUUUAACCGGGCGGCUAUAUGAGUAAGCAUUUUACCUUGAGAAAAACAGAGUGUUCCAGGCAGGUUUGUCCGGAAUGCAUUAGCAUGGAAUAAUAGAAUAUGACUGAAGUCGAUUUAUUGGUUUGAGGCUUUAGUAAUGAUUAAUAGGAACAGUCGGGGGCAUUGGUACUUGUCAGUCAGAGGUGAAAUUCUAGGAUUUGACAAAGACUAACAAAUGCGAAAGCAUUUGCCAAGGAUGUUUUCAUUAAUCAAGAACGAAAGUUAGGGGAUCAAAGACGAUCAGAUACCGUCCUAGUCUUAACUAUAAACUAUACCGACUCGGAUUCAGAUGAAUCAUAAAGUUCAUUUGGGACCGUAGGAGAAAUCAAAGUUUUUGGGUUCUGGGGGAAGUAUGGUCGCAAGGCUGAAACUUAAGGGAAUUGACGGUUUUGCACCACCAUGGAGUGGAGUCUGCGGCUUAAUUUGACAACACUGGGAAACUCAUCAGGGCAAGAAGAUUGUAGGAUUGACAGAUUGAGAGUUCUUUCUUGAUUGGUCUAGUGGUGGUGCAUGGCCGUUCUUAGUUGGUGGAGUGAUUUGUCUGGUUAAUUCCGUUAACGAACGAGACCUUAACCUGCUAACUAGUACACCGAUGACAAAUCGGUGAUACUUCUUAGAGGGACUAUGUGAUGUAAUCACAUGGAAGUUUGAGGCAAUAACAGGUCUGUGAUGCCCUUAGAUGUCCUGAGCUGCACGCGUACUACAAUGGUGCUUUCAUCGAGCUUUUCCUGAUCCGAAAGGAUUUGGGUAAUCUUUUUAGUGAGCACCGUGCUUGGGAUAGAUCUUUGUAAUUAUGGAUCUUGAACUAGGAAUUCCUAGUAAGCACGUGUCAUCAGCA
rnacentral:rRNA from 1 species